rnacentral:sRNA from 1 species
GGAUGACCAUAUAGGCUCUGCUCUGAAA